AAGUCGUAACAAGGUAUCCGUAGGUGAACCUGCGGAUGGAUCAUUAGUGGAUGUUGGAGGCAUGUGAGUGAAUUUAUAUAAGUAAUUGGGUGUUGGUUGGAUGCAUGGUUGGAUGCCUAGCGGGCCAGCCAACAAUCACCCCCACGUCAAACUCUAUAAAUCUAAUAUUGUCACAAAACAAAAACAACUUUUAGCAACGGAUCUCUUGGCUCUC
rnacentral:misc_RNA from 1 species